UGAAGUGUCCUUCAUGAAUUUAAUUAACAUUUUUGGCCUUCAAGAAAUAUUUUAAAUAGGAUUAAAUACAAGUGGUAUAAAGAAAAUAAAAAUAAAUGAUAAAUGAAAGAGGGGGUGUAUCAGCAAAUUAAAAAAUAUACUAAUUACUGAGUAAAACGUGCUUAUGGGCUCAAAAUGAGGGGGUGUGAAUAGCGGAACACCCAGGCUCAACGACCAAACAAACCCAAAGCUCAGUUUUUGGCAUUGUG
rnacentral:lncRNA from 1 species